AAGAAGUACCACUCCAUGACCUAUUUCAGUUCCUGAUUUGAGUCACUGCCUUGACUUCUCAGGAGGAUGGACUACAAACUAAUAUUGAGGGCUUGAGGAAAUACUAUGAAUCUCUCCAAUGAACUAUGGAUUACCUUAAAAGGCUUGGCAACAGAGUCGUGGGACAGGAAGUCUGCACUGUAUGCUAGCCUGCUGGGAAUUAGCCCUCAGAAACAAAUCCAACCACUCUUGUGAGUCAUGACAUUAAAAAUGAUGAAGAGAAUGGACGGGAGAAUGGUGGAGAAAUACCAAGUAAUGCAUGAUUUUCAGAAUCCCUAGAGGCUUGGAAAGAACAAGGAAGAUAAUCAGAA